UCAAGGAUGGCGGUAACCUGUUCUAUACCACUGCUGGUACUAAUCUUGAAGCUGGCAUAGACAAUCUUAAUGAUGAUGCAUCUGUGUCUAAAAUGAUGAAGCUUGCAAACCAAAGCAGCUUUAUAGAUGUUUACAUUCAGCACAAUGAACAUGAUGCUAUGAGCUAUCCAACGGUUGUUGAAGCCGUCCAACAUGACAACAUUGAUGAGAUGCAUGGCUCAAUUGAAAAGGUUGUGGAAGUAGAAGCAGAUGCUUGCACAGACUAGGAUACCGAGGUUUCACGUAAUCUGGAAUUUGUGAAGUCUGCUGGAGGUAAUGGACCUUUGACUUCUCAUGGUUCGUCAUCUUUUACUCUGAGUAGGGGAGGAGACAGUUGUGCUGGUAAUGUCAGUGGUAGCCUCUCAACAUUGUAUUGUUUGGACUGUGCGGCAAGGAGGCAGUUAGCCACAGCGACUUCCUAGAUCUUCUGAAUCUCAUAUUCCUAACCAUACUGACUUGGUCAUGCAUACUCGCAAAAAGAAUGUACUUGGUUCACUGGAGGUAGGUCUUUGCAAGCCCAACACUGAAUCGCUCAAGUACAAUGAUGGUGGAAAGAUCCUAUUACGAUCGUACCUCCGUUUGUGGGAGUGGAAGCGUUGGCUUAUCUGCUUACUCAAAGAAAUACCUCUUCACCGGAGAUAUCUGUGGUAACUGCUGCAAGCAGAGAUGCUUUGUUGAAUGAAGCAAAUUUGGGUGGUGGUGCUGCAAAUCAGGCGUACCUUUGUAGGAUGUCAUAUGAAAAAUACAGUAUGUGGACUCAGCAACCAGGCUCCCUCCCUCCCUCCCUCUCUCUCUCUCUCUCUGAACGACCAGGUUCUAGUCUCAACUUGCACUUAACGGGCUCUCACAAGAUAAUCUUUAGAGAGAUGUCCUCACCAUUCAGUAGAGUAUGACAACUAACACUAAGUAAAGAUGGCCCUUCCAGGGCCUAGUCCCUACUUUGUUUCAUGAGCAGGGGAUUGAGAUUUGGCCUGAGUGCUCCAAGCUCUGAUCGUAAAGCCAUAGUUAUUGUUGAUGACCAGCUCUGACCUGGUGAUGAACUCAGAGAUGGCAGUCUCGACUUUGCAUCAUGGAGCUCUUGAAACUGGGAAGACCGGGGUGGCUCUUUAGGCAAGUUCCUGAAGCUGAGAGGGUUUCACAAGAAGAAACCACUAUGACAGAGAUGCAAACUGCACAUGCAGACUGCCCCGUGUAGAGACGACUGUUUUUGGCGGGCUCCCCUAGUUCUCAAUUUUUGUGUCUGGUGUACCCGUCGCCGAUCGAGUGCUACACGUGUCCUUUGUGGAAAGAAGGCCAGAGCUUUAGGGCAAGUAUACUUGCAUUCUCAAGCAUAUUCAAGGAAUCCUUGAUCCCACAUUUUUCAAGCCUCGGAAUGACGGAGGGUGAGCAUGCAUUGGUAAAUUAGGUCCGGUCGCAAGCUGAUCCAGCGCACCUUCAGGUGAUCAAGGAUCAGGAGCUAGAUGUCUCAGGCAGUCAGGCCGCAGGGGUGAAGCGGCACAGCAGCCGGAGAUGUUGCUUUCGCCAAUGAAGGAGAACCUGGCUUCCGUGACGAAGCAAUAGAAACGCAGGCUCUCUCAAGCAAAACCGUCUGCAGGACAACAUCAUCUUUUUGCCUGUUGUUUUGUAAGGUUCUUAGGCUUUGCCAUCUGCUGCUUCUCAAGUCGUGGGUUCCUUAGUUUUUUCUUGGUCGCGCAGUGUUUCCCCGAGAUCUUUCUGGCCUUUGGCACCUUCCAGUUUUCGCGUGUGAAGUUCAAGGGCCAAGGGUAUCUGUUCCUGCCACACAAGUCAGAUGUAGUUCUCUGGAGCUGCAUUGUAAAUUUCACUGCAACUCAGCUCGGUUUUUUGGCCUUCUCUUCCCUAUGUGAUUUCGUUGAGAUGCAACUUUCCAACAGACGGCACGGAGCUUGCAUUUGCCACCGGCCCGUCGUGUUGCGGAGUUCUGUCCAGGUUUCUUUUCGCUUAGUUACUGAAAAUCAUAUGGUUCAGGUCCAGGAAGUUUGAGUUCGGAUGUAAUCUGCAUCUCUGCAGUCACGUGAUGGUUCUAGGCAUACAAUGCGUGCAGAUAUGCAUUUUCUGAAUAUAUUUCCUCGCACGGCGUUUGCCCAGUCUGAAUAUAUUUCAUGGUAGGCUGGUACCGAUCAUGUAGCAUUAGCACUGUUCGGAGACGCCUGUUGUUUUUCAGUUCCUUUCAUGUGAAUGGGAACAAGAAGAC